UCAGUGUCAGGUUUAAUACGUGUUGCCUUUU
rnacentral:piRNA from 1 species